GUUAUUAAUGUUGUUGUCCUCAGGGAGAGAAGACCUCAGGCUUUAUGAGUCUAAUGUGUAAUUACUGGUCAGGUUAUUAAUGUUGUUGUCCUCAGGGAGAGAAGACCUCAGGCUUUAUGAGUCUAAUGUGUAAUUACUGGUCAGGUUAUUAAUGUUGUUGUCCUCAGGGAGAGAAGACCUCAGCCUUUAUGAGUCUAAUGUGUAAUUACUGGUCAGGUUAUUACUGUUGUUGUUUCCUUCUGAAUCAUCCUUUCUAUAUUUUAUUUCAACAGAUCAGUCUGGGAGUAACAGAGUUGAAAUGAUGGAGAUGCAACCUUUACUGGGUCCUGGA